rnacentral:rRNA from 1 species
AUGGAGGAAGGAGCACACCACGGCGGCCUUCCCGAGCUAGUUCCAACCGGAGGAGGAGCCGAUCUCAUCAGCGCCCUCCCGGAGGAUCUGCUUCUCCAGGUCCUCGCCCGCCUCCGCUGCGCCCGCGCCGCCGCGCGCACCAGCCUCCUCUCCCACCGGUGGAGCCGCCUCUGGACCCGCCUCACCGAUUUCACCUUCCGCGACCUCGCGCUCCACUCGCUCCAAUCGGCGCUCGACUCCCUCGUCCACGCUCCCGGCGUGUUGUUCCUCCUCGACAUCCACUCCGAGGUGCCCCCGCCUGUUCCUCGGCGUGAGCUGCUAUACUACCUGCAGUACGCGGCCGGCGUCUCCUCACUGCUCCGCGCCGCCGCGGGGCUCUCGCCGGUGGAGCUCCGCUUCAACGUCUCUCUCGGCCCACUUGCCCGCUUGACACCUGACUUAUUAUUGUGCUAUCCCCCAAAGGUGGACCUCCCCUGCUUCCACCGAGCCACCUCCAUCGACCUAUCUGGGUUGGAGUUGGAGUUGGACCUCUCCCUCUUGGCCGACCCACCGGCAAGCUGCUACAUGUUCCCUGCUCUGGAGGUGCUGUCCUUCUCUCGCUGCUGCGUGGACGUUGCCGACUUGCUCCUCCAUUGUCCGCGCCUGCGCGUGCUAAGGGCGACCGACUGUUUGCUCGGCGAAGCCAUCCGCUCCGCGUCCCUGCAGGGGCUCGUUCUAGAGAUCAAGACAGGGAGUGUGGAUAUCGAGGCCCCCACGCUUAAGCAAUUGACAUUAUCCUUAGACACUCGCCGCGAGCUCAGGUUGUCCAUCUUGGCACCUAUGGUGGAGAAGGUUCUGUGGCUAUGCCACUAUUCCAAGGUAGCUGCUGGGAUUGGCCUUUGGGGCCUUGCGAUGGUGAGGUUAGAGACGGAGAGCAAUGCCCUGUGCCUGUGGAUGGACUGUCUUCACUCAUUUAGUUUUUCACGCACCGAGCUCAGCCUUGCGCAAGAAAUAGAGAAACAUCUAGUGGUUUGUAACUUCUCUGUCUUGGAUCUACAUUUCAACUCUUUCAAAACAAGCGGGCAUGCUUUUGGAGCAUUUGUGUUUCGCCUCCUGGCGAUUCAUCGGAUUCGUACUGCUACAAAAAUUCUUAAGAUAGGACUGGGGGAGAAAGCAAUAGCAUGCCCAGUAAAUUGUCCCUGUGAUGAGCCUAAGAACUGGAGAAGCGAAACUAUCACCUUGAUCAAUCUUGAAGAAGUGAAAAUCAAUGUCUUUGAAGGACAGGAGCAUGAAUUUGAUUUCUUGAGACAAAUAUUCAAAUGCACAGCAAUGCUGAAAAGAAUAGCUGUGAAGCUUUUAGAUGAUGUCACAGCAAGUAACGGUUUGUGCACAAAAAUAUAUGACAUCUUCAAGGAGUACCCUUAUGUGGAAUGCAGUGUUGUUCCUAGUUCUGGGCCAGAGCACAGCAGCCAAAGUGGUGCGUCGACAUGA